UACGGGGGGAGCAAGCGUUGUUCGGAUUUACUGGGCGUAAAGGGCGCGUAGGCGGCGCAACAAGUCACUUGUCAAAUCUCCGGGCUUAACCCGGAGCGGCCAAGUGAUACUGUCGUGCUAGAGUGCGGAAGGGGCUACUGGAAUUCUCGGUGUAGCGGUGAAAUGCGUAGAUAUCGAGAGGAACACCUGCGGCGAAGGCGGGUAGCUGGGCCGACACUGACGCUGAGGCGCGAAAGCCAGGGGAGCGAACGGG
rnacentral:rRNA from 1 species